CGAAUGGAGCAAGACUACCCGCUGAACUUAAGCAUAUCACUAAGCGGAGGAAAAGAAACCAACAGGGAUGCCCCUAGUAAUGGCGAAUGAAGCGGGCAGAGCUCACGCCGGAAAUCCGGAGGCCACACGGUUGCCUCCUGAAUUGUAGUCUGGAGAGGUGCCAUCGGUCCCCCUCGGCGCCAAAAUCCCUUGGAACGGGGUAUCGGAGAAGGUGAGAAUCCUGUCAUGCGCCGGAGUGGGACCGUACGAUGUGCUCUCGUAGAGUCGGGCUGCUUGGGAGUGCAGCCUGAAGCGGGUGGUAAAUUCCAUCUAAAGCUAAAUACUGGCGGGAGACCGAUAGCGAACAAGUACCGUGAGGGAAAGAUGCAAAGAACUUUGAAAAGAGAGUUAAAGAGUGCUUGAAAUUGGCAGGAGGAAACCCGGUUGCGCGUGGCAUUUGGCGUGGUCGACUCAGCCGCGCGCGGAGACCUGUAGGGGACCUAACGGCCUCGUGGUCAGCGCGCGCGGUGCACUUCGGCCGCGUCGGUCAGCCGCGUUUCUGUGCGGCCCAGACGGCCGCGGGCAGGGCUUCGGCGCAGCCUGCGGUUUGGGGGUCGCGCGGGAUCUCGGCUGAUGCGCACGGGCGCAACCGACCCGUCUAGUAACACGGACCAAGGAGUCUGACGCGUGUGCGAGUACUAGAGUGGCAAGCUCGAGUGCGCAAUGAAAGUGAAGGGCGUGCCCCGUCAACCGAUCUUGAUCUUCUGUGAAGGGUUUGAGUGGAGCACAUCUGUCGGGACCCGAAAGAUGGUGAACUAUGCCUGAGGAGGGUGAAGCCAGAGGAAACUCUGGUGGAGGCUCGUAGCGAUACUGACGUGCAAAUCGUUCGUCGAACUUGGGUAUAGGGGCGAAAGACUAAUCGAACCAUCUAGUAGCUGGUUCCCUCCGAAGUUUCCCACAGGAUAGCUUGAACGCCGACGGUUUUGUCAGGUAAAGCGAAUGAUUAGAGGCCUUGGGGCUGAAACAGCCUUAACCUAUUCUCAAACUUUAAAUGGGCAAGAGGCGCCGGAUGCUUGACUGAUCCGGCGCGGUGAACGGCGCGUUCAAAGUGGGCCAUUUUUGGUAAGCAGAACUGGCGAUGCGGGAUGAACCGAACGCGGCGCUAAGGUACCCAAGUGUCCGCUCAUCAGAGACCACAAAAGGCGUUGGUACCUCCAGACAGCAGGACGGUGGCCAUGGAAGUCGGAACCCGCUAAGGAGUGUGUAACAACUCACCUGCCGAAGGUACUAGCCCUGAAAAUGGAUGGCGCUCAAGCGGACCACCGAGGCGUUGCCGCCGGCGCGAGCGCGAGGCGUCCGGCGAGUAGGAGGGCGCGCAGUGGGCGACGCAGCUUGAGGCGUGAGCCUGAGUGAAGCCGACUGUGGUGCAGAUCUUGGUGGCAGUAGCAAAUAUUCAAGUGAGAACCUUGAAGACUGAAGUGGAGAAAGGUUCCAUGUGAACAGCAGUUGGACAUGGGUGAGCCGACCCUAAGGGACAGGAGAGCUCCGCUGAACGCGGCCGCUUCCGUCGGCCCGACCGUCGAAAGGGAAUCGGGUUAACAUUCCCGAGCCGGAGCGUGGAUGGAGGGCGGCGACGCGAACGAACCCGGAGACGCUGGCGGGAGCCCCGGGAAGAGUUCUCUUUUCUUCUUAACUGCCUACUCGCCCUGGAAUCGGUUCGGCCGGAGAGAGGGCCGCACGGCAGGCAAAGCACCUUAAGUCUUGAGGUGUCCGGCGCGCUCCCGACAGUCCGUGAAAAUCCGGGGGAGCGGUUCGUUCUCACGACCGGUCGUACUCAUAACCGCAUCAGGUCUCCAAGGUGAACAGCCUCUGGUCGAUAGAGCAAUGUAGAUAAAGGAAGUCGGCAAAAUGGUUCCGCAACCUCGGGAGAAGGAAUGGCUCUGAAGGCUGGGUCCAGGGGUCCUAGGUCCGAGGCCCGAGGCUGCGCAGGGACUACCGGCCUCACGGCUGGCGGACCCCGGGCGGCCGAGGCGCGGAUGGCCUAGGAGCGACCUCGCGGUCUCUCCCUGGGCGCUGAACAGCCGCUUCAGAACUGGCGCGGACAAGGGGAAUCCGACUGUUUAAUUAAAACAAAGCAUUGCGAUGGCCGGGGACGGUGCUGACGCAAUGUGAUUUCUGCCCAGUGCUCUGAAUGUCAAAGUGAAGAAAUUCAACUAAGCGCGGGUAAACGGCGGGAGUAACUAUGACUCUCUUAAGGUAGCCAAAUGCCUCGUCAUCCAAUUUGUGACGCGCAUGAAUGGAUUCGUGAGAUUCCCACUGUCCCUAUCUACUGUCUAGCGAAGCCACAGCCAAGGGAACGGGCUUGGAAGAAUCAGCGGGGAAAGAAGACCCUGUUGAGCUUGACUCUAGUCUGACUCUGUGAAAUGACUCGAGAGGUGUAGAAUAUGCGGGAGGAGCGAUCCGACAGUGAAAUACCGCA
rnacentral:rRNA from 1 species